rnacentral:lncRNA from 1 species
GUUGGAAACUGCUGGCCGCCGUGUGUCGCUGUUAGGCGCCGCCUAGUGGUUCCGUCGCUCAUACCCGCCUCACUGACUUCUCUUCUAGAGGCUCAGUUUGCGGCAGUUCAAAACGAAAUUUUUCAGCCGGUUAUAACCGGCAAGUUUGUCCUUUUUGUUAUUCAUGAAUGCCGCUUGUUUUCAUUCUUCCUUCCUCGCUCCCAAAAAGAGCGCUUUUCACGUACUACCGAGCUGACACAUGUCGACCCUAGCACGUCUCUUUCGUUCUGUCAUUUUACCAGUUUGCGAGUGACUCGGUGGGAAGGGUGAGCGACUCGUUGUUUGUUGACCCGCCCCAUCCCUGCAGUUGCUAUUUCGCACGUAGUGAUACUCAGCGUCGGCUUUCUAUCACGAUAAAGCCGUGUGGUGCCGGAGCUAAAGAACACUCACGUUUCUUUUAUACUGCUCCGUAGAUGACCUGUAUCGGUCUGCCAGCGACCACUACGGUAAGUGGCGGCAUCCUGGCGCCGGCCGUUCGCGGUCUCGAUAACUGGCUACUAACCGCUGGUGGCUUAUGGUCGAUUUCGGCUCACAAUUGCUAAUGUGAGGUCUUUCAAUUAGUUCCGUCGCUGCUGUCUUCGUCCGCAGCGCCCUCUGUAAACAAAGCCCACAUAGCAGUCAGCUGCAAAUAAAACGAACGGUGGCGCCAGCACUAGCAGUAGCGCCCGGAGCAUAACAGCCUGGGUAAAGACCCCGACCGACUAACUGCGCACUUUCUUCUCGACUAAAUUGGCUGCGCGCUAUUGCCGGUAUAUAGGCUCACGGUGCCACGGGCGUAGAGCAGCAGUAAUACGCUUGUCCGAGUUGGCUGUUUAGCUGGCUACUCAAUGGCAGGGGCUCUACCAGAGGCUGGAAGAUGGAACACAUUAACAGUGUGAGAAGGGACUACCCUCGCUGGCGGAGGCGCCAGCAGCAGUAGCAGCAUCACGGUGACGAGCUUUGCGUCGUUUUUGGCCGGGUACGGCGGUGAGUCAACGAGACGUGUGAUACAAGCCGAUAUACAAACACAGAUAGAGGAACACAUACAUACGAACCAUACAGAGAUGCAGAUAGAUUGCCAGUGAGGAUCAAACAGCGCCUGUUGUCGCGACAUCCGUGUUUCAGUUUGCCGCGAACUAGCAGCGGAUACACACGCGCGUGGCUUGAUACUGUUUAUUGCACUCUUUUUGGACACUAACGACGAGGAAAAAUAAUAGGAAGUCUAACCAGGAGAAGAAACAACGGUUCUUGCGCGAAGCAUCAGGGAGCCAAAGGCUGUCGUGUUGGCUGGUAAGACACGUCGUAUGUGCUUAACUUGUCAGCAGCAAAAGGGAUCCGCUUUUGAGUUCUCGAACAUUCUUGUACAACCUAUUCGCGAGUGCUUACCUAUUGGGCAGAUUAUGUGGAGCUCGCUAGCCGGCGGACUAGAAGACCAGAAGGUGCACGAGGCAUAUGAAUGCCUUUUCAUCUUAUUAUUGUCGCUGGCUACAAUCACUUUACAUGAAUGAAGCUUCAAAGCGGUUAUCUCCGUCUUUUGAUGAUUUCCGAUAUUUUUAGUUCGUGCAGAGCUGACAUUAUGCUCCUGUACAACGCACUGGCUGUUGUUGAUUUGAUGAUCGAUGCUUAAUACGCGUUAAGCAAGGAAAAAUCGAUUUCACUCAUUGAAGAACAUCGUUUAACAUCCGCCCAACUAUAGACCAUAUUACGUAUUUGUACAAAGAAAAACGUCUUCGUUGUGCGACAAGCCCAAUAUCAACUUAUCGACGUGUACGAAAUCACCUUAACGUGUCGUGAUGUCAAGCCCAAAUAGCGCAAACGAUAUAAAAGGUGGAAUGAUUUCCAGCAUGAUCCGAAGACAUUCUGCCGACGACGCUGCGCGAGGAAGCUUUUUCUUCCGGAGCUUUACCGACACCCGAGAUCGGCAGCGCACUGUAUCUGAAGUCGUCCCGGAACACUCCACAGUGGGUCCCAGCGAGACAUCGCAAAAGGAAAGGCGAAUUUCUGUGAUGUCGCUGAGUCCUAUAUAAACAAAUUAUGGGCACCUUUAAAGACCACCUCUCUACAGUGCCGCGACAUGGACUCAAUCGGCCAACAUCGCUAGCUGCUUCAGGUGACACCGGGCGAGACGGAGCUAUUGUUUGCCACCAUUACCGCCAUUAUACUACCGAACCGGCGAACAUUGCGAUAGGUCUAGAGAUCCUCGACAAAUGACACUCGCGUGCAAACGGUCCAUUCCUUCAUGUCAAAUAAGCGACUCCGAAUUUUCACGUGUCGCAGAAGUUGGAGAUGAUGCCCAGUGAGUGCGAAGGAGAUUUGGAUCAUUAGUGGAGAGGAAACCCUUUGAAAGGAGUAAGAAAAUCGCUACGCUCAUUCCCUAACAAAGACCGCAGUGACAAAAAAAAAAACUCAAGAAAACCCAGAUUAUGUCAAACAGUUGAAAUAUGGCAUGCUAUUGGACUCGACUAUUAUUUGACCCGCAGGUCUAAACAUUUAAAGAAAAUUUUCUCUAGAGGAAGGAAUUAAGCAUGACAUCAUAGUGGUAAUAACUACACUACUUCGACCCCCACCAUUAGCGUUUUCUCUAAUUGGCAAAAAUAUAUUGCCAAAGAUCAGGAAAAGAUGAUAAAAAGAUAAAGUUUUUAACCAGUCAGUAGCCAGUAGGAAUCCGAAGAUAGGAUAAAAGUCGUAGAGCUCAUAUACAACUGAAGCAUAAUGAUUAUAAAUGUGAUAAUAGCACCUUCGGGUGAGAUGGCCUUAAUACCUAUCGGUGUUACAAAGCUGUGGAAAAAUUGUACAGCGAAAACAGACAAAAGGGAACAGAUGGAAGAAGCUUGUUCAUAUCAUAAAGCAGCAUAAUACCUAUUUUCCCACACACACUUGAUAACAUGGUGCAAAUGACGAAAACAACCAUGUCUUACCGAGGUCGUCGAUAGGAAUCGUCUUGAACAAAUUGAUGAGAAAAUGGGGUUCUUCCUGUAUCUUGACUGGAGUACAGAUUAUAAAAAAAAAAAACAAUUCUGUUGAUGACACUUAAAUUAGUCGAUGGCUUACCUGAUAAGUAACGUAGUCCAGCCGAUAGCGGUUAUCUAAAGUGCAUCACAAAUAACUUCAAAUACAGUUGCAGCGCUUUUGCGAUUGUUCCCGCUAGAUGCCUGUCUAACCAUUGUUAGCGUCAGUUGAUCACAUUCUCACUCAACCUAAAAUAGUAUUGCAUGUUGCAUACACAAGUAAUCCCUAUCCUGUGUAAAGAUAGAGUGGUUUGCUUGGCCAUAGUUUCUGACCAGCAAAAGGAGAUCCAUGUAUAUAUAUAUAUGUAUUUAUACAUAUAUCAUUAGAUUACUUAACAGGAGGUAGCCAACGGUAAAUAUGAGAUGAGGUGUCGUCGUGCGAGAACGGCGGUGGAUGACAUGCAGAUCGUCUGAAUCGAACUCUUCUAGAUAACGUUGUAGCUUAACCAUACCACCGUACGCCUAAAUAUAUACAAACACUAUUUAUUUUUGGAAGGCAAUUGAUAACGGAAAGUGAAGCUGAUUUCUGAGCACUAUUUCUGAGCACUGUUCGUCGUCGCAAAACAUGGUCUGCGGGUGCUUCCGAAAGAUUGAUUCCUUCAAAUUCAGUGACCCGGUGCAACGCGCCGAACGGUAGGCAGAAAACAGUAAUAAAACAGAUACCCUUUCCCAUUGACUCAUGGAAAGGGAUACAAGAUUUGCUCGAAUGUUAAGACAAAAACCUACAUGAUAUUUUUAAAACAAUGUGUGUAAACUAACAGGAAAUAGGCUAAAGCAAACGGCUCCAAGGAAGAUAGAAAGUUGAUGGGUAAUUAGAAAUCUUAACCAUGGAUGUCUGUACGACGGGCACGUCCAUUGUGCCCGUUUUCUCGAAAGAGAUCGAUCGAUUGAUUUUUCGAGAGAAAUCAGUUCAAAAAAAAAAACAGUCGAUAACUUAAGGACAUACAGCUUAGGGAAAAAUACAUUUUCUAAUAAGAUCAGAUAAGUAGAGAGAGAGAGAAGCUGAAACACCGUAUAACAUGUUAGAUAGUUGGGCAAAGGUACGAUACAAACCGAUAAGUGUGGUUUCAUGAUUGCUUCAACAACAAGUUAGUGCUCUACGCAAAUGAUACUAAUAAAAAAAAAGGCGCGUAAAGCGAUUGGUGGA